ACUCCCCAGGCGGUGUGUUUAUCGGUUUCCUGCGACACUGAAAAUAAAUUUCCAACGUCUAACACACAUCGUUUACGGCAUGGACUACGAGGGUAUCUAAUCCUCUUCGCUACCCAUGCUUUCGUUCCUCAGUGUCAGUAAUGAUCCAGAAAGCUGCCUUCGCAAUUGGUAUUCUUUCUAAUAUCUACGAAUUUCACCUCUACACUAGAAAUUCUGCUUUCCUCUAUCAUACUCUAGCUGAAAAGUUUUGAUGGCAGUUCCAGAGUUAAGCUCUGGGAUUUCACCACCAACUUUUUCAACCACCUACGAACUCUUUAAGCCCAGUAAUUCCGAACUACGCUAGGUCCCUUCGUAUUACCGCGGCUGCUGGCACGAAGUUAGCCGGACCUUCUUAUUCGGGUACAGUCAUUUUCUUCCCCGACGAAAGAGCUUUACAACCCAAAGGCCUUCUUCACUCACGCGGCAUCGCUGCAUCAGAGUUUCCUCCAUUGUGCAAGAUUCCCCACUGCUGCCUCCCGUAGGAGUUUGGGCCGUGUCUCAGUCCCAAUGUGGCUGAUCAUCCUCUCAAAUCAGCUAUUGAUCAUAGUCUUGGUAGGCUAUUACCCCACCAACAAACUAAUCAAGUGCGGGCUCCUCCAAUGGUGCAUAAAGCUUUCUCCGUAAAGACUUAUCCGGUAUUAGCACAAGUUUCCUCGUGUUAUUCCAGGCCAAAGGGUAGAUACCCACAUGUUACUCACCCGUCUGCCACUAAGUAUUGCUACUUCGUUCGACUUGCAUGUGUUAGGCGUGCCGCCAGCGUACGUUCUGAGCCAGGAUCAAACUCU
rnacentral:rRNA from 1 species